rnacentral:rRNA from 1 species
UACGUAGGGGGCAAGCGUUAUCCGGAUUUACUGGGUGUAAAGGGAGUGUAGACGGCAAGGCAAGUCUGAAGUGAAAGCCCGGUGCUCAACGCCGGGACUGCUUUGGAAACUGUUUAGCUAGAGUGCCGGAGAGGUAAGCGGAAUUCCUAGUGUAGCGGUGAAAUGCGUAGAUAUUAGGAAGAACACCAGUGGCGAAGGCGGCUUACUGGACGGUAACUGACGUUGAGGCUCGAAAGCGUGGGGAGCAAACAGG